rnacentral:lncRNA from 1 species
GCGCACACCUGUAAUCCCAGCAGCUCAGAAGGCUGAGAUAGGAGAAUCACAAAUUCAAAGCCAGCCUCAGCAACUGCAAGGUACUAAGCAACUCACUGAGACCCUGUCUCUAAAAUAAAAUACAAAAUAGGACUGGGGAUGUGGCUCAAUGGUCAAGUGCCCCUAAGUUCAAUCCCCAGUACCAAAAAAAAAAAGGCAACCAUUGUUAUUAAUUUCUUGUAAUCAUUACAGAGGUACCAGAGAUUUUCUAUGCUUGGAGAAUACACACACACACACACACACAAACGAUAACAUUAAGCACACCAUUUUUACUUCACUUUUUGUGCGUAGUAUAUUUGGGGAUUCAUCCUAUAAAAUUGCAUUAUUUUAACAUCUGCAUAGUAUCUGUGUUAAUGAUUUAUUUCUAAGUAACAGUGACUAGAAACAAUACAUUUAUUAUCUCACAAUUUCUGUAGGUCACAAGUCCAGGCACAGCUUAUCUGGGUCUUCUACUUCAGGAUCUCUCAAAAAGUUGCAAUUAAGGUGCCACCUGGAGCUGUGGCAGCUUACCUGAAGGUUUGACUACAGAAGAUUCUGCUUCUACACUCACAUGGCUAUUGACAGAAUUCAGUUCUUUAGGGUUGAGGACUGAGAGCCUCAAGUUUCUUUGUGCCUGUUGGGUGGAUACCACCUUCAAUUCCUGGCCUUGAGGUCCUCUCCGUAGAGUCAUCACUAUUUAGGUGCUAGCUUCAUCAAAGUCAGUAAGAGAGACAUCGAGAUAGAUGUUGUAAAUUUACAUAAUGGAAUCAUGGAAGUGAUAUCACCUUUGCCACAUUCUGUAUGUUAGAAGGAAAUCACACAUUCCACCCAUACUGACAUGAAUAACAGGAGGCAGAAGUAAUUGGAGAUCAUUUUAGAGUUUGUCUUCUAUAAAAUCCAGUAUAUAGAUGUUCCCUAAUUUGUCCAGAUUCCUCUUUUUUAUCUUUUUUAUGUAUACAUUUAUUUUUAGUUGUUGAUGGAUUUCUUUUUUUAAAUGCAGUGCUUAGGGGCUGGGAUAUAGCUUAGUUGGUGGAGUGCUCACUUUGCAUGCACAAGGUCCCUGCGUUCAAUCCCCA